GACAGAGGGUGCAAACGUUGUUCGGAAUUACUGGGCGUAAAGCGCGUGUAGGCGGCCGCGCAAGUCGAGUGUGAAAGCCCCGAGCUUAACUUGGGAAUUGCGCUCGAAACUACGUGGCUGGAGUGUGGCAGAGGAAGGUGGAAUUCCACGUGUAGCGGUGAAAUGCGUAGAGAUGUGGAGGAACACCAAUGGCGAAGGCAGCCUUCUGGGCCAACACUGACGCUCAUGCACGAAAGCGUGGGGAGCAAACAGG
rnacentral:rRNA from 1 species